rnacentral:rRNA from 1 species
GUGACGAAGCGACGCCGCGUGUGGGAAGAAGGCCUUCGGGUUGUAAACCACUGUCAGGAGUUAAGAAAUGUAAGGGUGCUAAUAGUAUCCUUACUUGACUAAGGCUCCAGAGGAAGCCACGGCUAACUCUGUGCCAGCAGCCGCGGUAAUACAGAGGUGGCAAGCGUUGUUCGGAAUUAUUGGGCGUAAAGAGCACGUAGGCGGUUCUGCAAGUCGGCUGUGAAAGCCUUCCGCUCAACGGAAGAACAGCAGUUGAUACUACAGGACUAGAGUGCGGGAGGGGAGAGUGGAACUUCUGGUGGAGCGGUGAAAUGCGUAGAUAUCAGAAGGAACGCCGGCGGCGAAAGCGACUCUCUGGCCCGUAACUGACGCUGAGUGUGCGAAAGCUAGGGGAGCAAACGGGAUUAGAUACCCCGGUAGUCUUAGCCGUAAACGAU